UACAGAGGGUGCUAGCGUUGUUCGGAUUCAUUGGGCGUAAAGCGCGCGUAGGCGGCUCCGCAAUUCGGCCGUGAAAUCUCCGGGCUCAACUCGGAGGGGUCGGGCGAGACUGCGAGGCUCGAGGUGGGCAGAGGGCAGUGGAAUUCCGGGUGUAGUGGUGGAAUGCGUAGAGAUCCGGAGGAACACCAGUGGCGAAGGCGGCUGCCUGGGCCUGGCCUGACGCUGAGGCGCGAAAGCGUGGGAGCA
rnacentral:rRNA from 1 species